rnacentral:lncRNA from 1 species
CCAUGUAAUGAACAAGAAUGGGAUAAAGAGUUGGCUUACAAUCGCCACUUCACACAAUAUAUAACUAAAAUUCAUACAUCAUCCAAAAUACACACAUAGACCGACUACAGUCAAGAUCCAAAUGAAAAUAAGAUAACCCCAAAUGCUAGAUCCCCAAUCGUCCCAACUGGGCUCCACUACUGAUCAUCAGGAAAAGACACAUAGUAACGACCACGUUCCUCAUCGAACUCCCACUUGAGGUCGAUCCCAUCAUCUGCACUGGCAUCGUCGGCACCUGCAACUGUUUUGGUAGAAUCUGUGAGUCACGAGGACUCAGCAAUCUCACACCCGCGAGAUCAAGACUAUUUAACCUUAUAGGAAAGGAAGGUGUAAUGAGGUGGAGCUGCAGCGGCAAUAAGCAUAUAUGGUGGCUAACACACGCAAAAGAGAGCGAGAAGAGAAGCAACGGAACGGUCGUCAUCUAGCAAUGACCAAGAAGUGAUCCUGAACUCCUACUUACGUCAUACAUAACUCAGACCGUGUUCACUUACCGGACUCCGCCGAGAAGAGACCAUCACGGCUACACACACGGUUGAUGUAUUUUAAUUUGGUCAAGUGACAAGUUCUCUACAACCGGACAUUAACAAAUUCCCAUCUGCCUCAUAACCUGCAGGGGUGUCCCAACUUAGCCCAUCAUAAGCUCUCACGGUCAACAAGGAUAAACCUUCUCCCGGAAAGACCUGAUCAGUCUUGGAAUCCCGGUUUACAAGACAUUUCGAUAAUGGUAAAACAAGACCAGCAAAGCCACCCGAAUGUGCCGACAAAUCCCUAUAGGAGCUGCACAUAUCUCGUUCUCAGGGCACACCGGAUGAGCGAAGCGUACAGGUACCAACAUAACCCAAGUUGCCAAGGGAUGGUCCCGCACGGUGCUCUAGUUUGGGCCAGCACUCAGAGGAACACUGGCCCGGGGGUUAAAAUAAGAUGACCCUCGGGCUCGUGAAAACCCGGGGGAAAGGCUUAGGUGGCAAACGGUAAAACCAAGGUUGGGCCUUGCUGGAGGAGUUUUAUUCAAGGCGAACUGUCAAGGGGGUCCCAUAAAUCACCCGACCGCGUAAGGAACGCAAACUCAAGGAACAUAAUACCGGUAUGACAGAAACUAGGGCGACAAGAGUGGAACAAAACACCAGGCAUAAGGCCGAGCCUUCCACCCUUUACCAAAUAUAUAGAUGCAUUAAUUAAAUAAGAGAUAUUGUGAUAUCCCAACAUAUCCAUGUUCCAACAUGGAACAAACUUCAACUUCACCUGCAACUAGCAACACUAUAAGAAGGGCUGAGCAAAAGCGAUAACUUAGCCAAACAACGGUUUGCUAGGAAUGGAUGGUUAGAGGCUGACAUGGCAAUAUGGGAGGCAUGAUAUAGCAAAUGGUAGGUAGCGCAGCAUGGCAAUAGAACGAACAACUAGCAAAGCAAAGAUAGAAGUGAUUUCGAGGGGUGGUCAUCUUGCCUGCAAGGUUCUCAGAGUUAUCGAAAGCUUGAUCCUCGUAAGCGUACUCAACAGGUUCCUCGUUCAUGAACUCGUCUCCCGGCUCUACCCAAGACAAGAACACAAGCAAAGGAACCACAAUCAAUCACGAGAAAUGCACAAGCAACAUGAUGCAAUACAUGAAUGAUAUGCAAGAUAUGAUAUGCGAUGCAUAUGCGUGCUCCGGAAGAAAAAUGAUGAACAAGGCAGUAACUUGGCAAACCAAGUAUGCCACUAGAAAGAUGAGAUGAUUUCGGUCGAAAUCGAUAUAAAGAUCACCGGAAACGGAUGCACGGUUUGCAAAUGGCAAGUAAAACAAGAAUGACACGAAUCUGCGAUUAACAGCAUGAUAGCACUUAGAAUGCAACAAGUAACAAUGCUACAGCACUCCAACAUAGCAACAAGGCAUAUGACAGUAAUCUACAGGAGAUGGUUGACAAAAUAUGAACACUGAGCUACGGCUAGAUCACAACAUAACAAGCUCAAACAGGCAUGGGAAAAGUGCAAAAGAUAAAAGGUUCACAGACUUGGUGAAAUUACUGGACAUGGCAGAAAACAGCAUCAGGUAGCAAUGUUCAGAGCACGAGAUCAACAUGCUACAGAAACUUAACAUGGCAAAACAAGGUAUGGAAGUAUUCUACUAGAUGCAUAUGAAAAAAGUCCCUUACUGACCAUAAGCCAAAAAGGACCAGAAGAAAUGAUGGAAACCUUGUAAACAUAGCAAGUUUCAUUAUCAGGUUUCAGACAGCAGAAAACAGAGCAUGACAGAAACAAUAAUAUGAAGGCAUCUUGGUGAGCUUGAUGCACUCACCACAAAGCAAUGCAUGACAAAACAUGCAUACCUACAGCAAGAUGGCAUGUUUAUGAAGCUAUCCAUAGCAAGAACAAAAGCAUAGCAUGUAUGGAUCAACUACAACAAACUUGGCAAAAUUGAAUAACACGUAAACAAUCUGCCAGAAAUAUUUUAUAGCAAAAGUAGAGCAAAAUUGAGUCAUGCUAUGGCACUCCAUAAUUGCAAACAAGGACAGGAAUGGAUCAAUUACAACAAUAUCUACAAAAUAUCCUUACUAAACAUCACCAAAAUAUGCAUGGAUCUCUCCGUAGCAUCAAGUUUACAUAGCAACAAAAUAACAGCAGACAGACUUGGAGAAAACAGUCCCUGAAAUCAGAAACAUUACGGAGCCUAGUUUGCAUGCUUGUUCUAGUCCCCACAGAGAUCACAAAAAUACAUGGCAUACACCACUGGAUAGAUGGCAUGGCAUACAACAAAACACAUGUAGAGCUCAUGCCCAUAAGAUGCACAGAUUAAAUGCAACAAAAAUAACAAAUCACUAAGUUCUGAUAAGAACCAACAGAUAACAGCAACUAGCACUCUUGCACCAGAGAUUUGGGCAUCAAGAUGGCCUCUAAUGAACAUAGUGCAAUUGAACAAAAUGUAGAGCAUCACGAGGCGAACAAUUCGAUACAUUACACACGCGAAACGGAGCGAUAUGCAGAGAGUUAUGAUGCUAUGAACAUGGGCACAUGCUGAGAAAAAUAAAUGACUUGCAAGAAAUUCGGGGGUUCGGGAAAAGUCAACCGUCGUUCUUCCAGAUCCAUAUCGGGGCUCGGGCUCGUCGGGGCUUCGGCUGGAACUGCCACCGGAGGGAGCAGAGGACGGGGUGGAGAGGAAGGAGGAGGCCGCGCCGGACGGGGAGGGAGGCGCCGGCGCGCGGGGCGGAGCCGUGGGCGCGGCAGCGGUGGAGGCGAUGCGGUGNNNNNNNNNNNNNNNNNNNNNNNNNNNNNNNNNNNNNNNNNNNNNNNNNNNNNNNNNNNNNNNNNNNNNNNNNNNNNNNNNNNNNNNNNNNNNNNNNNNNNNNNNNNNNNNNNNNNNNNNNNNNNNNNNNNNNNNNNNNNNNNNNNNNNNNNNNNNNNNNNNNNNNNNNNNNNNNNNNNNNNNNNNNNNNNNNNNNNNNNNNNNNNNNNNNNNNNNNNNNNNNNNNNNNNNNNNNNNNNNNNNNNNNNNNNNNNNNNNNNNNNNNNNNNNNNNNNNNNNNNNNNNNNNNNNNNNNNNNNNNNNNNNNNNNNNNNNNNNNNNNNNNNNNNNNNNNNNNNNNNNNNNNNNNNNNNNNNNNNNNNNNNNNNNNNNNNNNNNNNNNNNNNNNNNNNNNNNNNNNNNNNNNNCUGCCACGUGGCAUGCGCUGGUUCGCUGCGGGCGGCGGCGCGGAUUCGUCCGGCGGCGGUGGACACGUCCGAUGGCGGCGGGGAUUUUUGCUAGGGUUUCAUCUGCGGAUUUGGAGGAGGUGUACCCAUAUUUAUAGCUAGAGGGAGGUAGGAGGCUUCAAAUGGAGUGCGUUUUUCGCCCACACGAUCGUGAUCGAACGACCUACAACAUGUAAGAGAGUUUGGUGGGUUUUGGGCUGGUUAUGAGGGGGGUUUUGCUGCAACACAUAAAAGGCAUCAGCGGUUACCCGGUUAACCGUUGGAGUACCAAACGACCUCCAAAUGGAACGAAACUUGACCGGUGGUCUACCGGUAGUAUACCAAGGCCACUUGACAAGCCUCGGUCCAUUCCGAGAACAUUUGACACCCGCUCACGAAAGAAAACAAGAGGGGUGCGCCGGAUUGCAAAACGGACAACGGGGAAAAUGCUCGGAUACAUGAGACUAACACGUAUGCAAAUGCAAUGCACAUGAUGACAUGAUAUGAAAUGCAUGACAUGGACAAAAUGCAAAACGAAAAACAAAACCCGACCACGAGGGGAAUAUCAUAGCACAUAGCCGAAAAUGGCAAGAGUUGGAGUUAUAAAUAUGGGAAGUUACAUCCGGGGUGUUACAACUACAAGGAAAUGGAGAUUGCUAUGAUACGAGCCAAUGUCAUGGAAGAUGAUGAGCAAACUAUGGCACGUUUCUUGAAUGGACUCAACCAUCCUAUCAAGAAGAUCGCCGACUUCCAACCAUACUCGAACCUCAUCGAGCUAGUACAUCAAGCUACCAAGGCGGGAUGUCAAGUGCAAGAUGACCUCGAAUAUGCCAAGUUCUCAUCCAAGUCAUAUGGUUUCUCCAACUCGCAAGCUUCAACGACUCUAACAACUUCUACCUCAUCCAAGCCUCCUACAAGCAACGGCAACAAGUCAAGUUACAAGAAAACUUCGACAAGCUCAAGUCGUCCUCCUACUUCAAGAAACUUCAAGCCAAAAGCUUCAUCAUCAUCUACCCCAACCGAUGAGACCAUCAAGAUAAGUUCCUUCAAAUGCUUCACAUGCGGCGGCCGAGGCCACAAGUCCUCCGAGUGUACAAACAAGUGCACCAUGAUCCUCAACAACGACGGAACCUAUGACUCCAUGAGUGAAGAGGAGAUGGCCAUGCACUGGCGCGUGAACGAAGAUGAAGAUGAUCAAGUCUUUUGUGACGAAGAUUCAAGCCCCGCUCUCGUUGUCUCCAAGGUCUUGAUUCUUCAACAUCAACAAGACGAAGACCAAAGAUGCCAUACCUUCCACACCAAGGCCGGCAUCAAUGGAAGGCCCGUCAAGGUCAUCAUCGAUGGAGGGAGUUGCCAUAACCUAGCAAGUGGAGAACUAUGCUCCAAGCUCCAAUUGGUCAAGAUGAAGCACCCACACCCCUACAAGGUUCAAUGGCUAAGCGACACCGGCACCAUCCAAGUCGAGCAUAGAGUACAAGUUUCUUUCAAGAUCGGAGCUUACGAAGACACUUUGGAACGUGAUGUCCUUCCGAUGACCGUUUGCCACCUCCUUCUUGGAUGGCCAUGGCAAUUCGACCGUGGUGUCAUCCAUAAUAGGCGUACAAACCACUAUAGCUUCAAGAUGAAAGGAAAAGAGUAUGUGCUACGACCUAUGUCUCCAAGCCAAGUGAUCGCCGACAAGCAAGCAACCCAUUGUGGAGAGAAUAGUGAGAGACCGAACCACCAAAAAGAUAGUGAGCGCCACAAGCCAAAAUUGAGUGCCUCCACGAUGAGCGACAAGAAGAACUUAGUCCUAUUUGCCACCAAACGUGAGAUGAGAGAAGUGUGUGAGAACCCAUCAAGUGUUAUGCACUAUGUCCUUUUGUGCAAGGACGAGGCACCAAAAGUUAACACCUCUCACGAUCUACCUUUAGUGUUAUCUUCUCUAUUGCAGGAAUUCCAAGAUGUUUUCCCCCGACGAGCUACCUCCGGGUCUACCUCCAUGAUACGUCUCCGUCGUAUCUAUAAUUUUUGAUUGUUCCAUGCCAAUAUUAUACAACUUUUACAUACUUUUGGCAACUUUUUAUACUAUUUUUGGGACUAACAUAUUGAUCCAGUGCCCAGUGGCAGUUCCUGUUUUUUGCAUGUUUUUUGUUUCGCAGAAAACCCAUAUCAAACGGAGUCCAAACAUGAUAAAAACGGACGGAAAAUAUUUUUUGGAAUAUUCGUGAUAUUUGGGAAGAAGAAUCAAUGCGAGACGGUGCCCGAGGGGGCCACGAGGCAGGGGGCGCGCCCCAGGGGGGCAGGCGCGCCCCUGACCCUCGUGGGCACCCCGUAAGGCAGUUGCUGCUCUUCUUUGGCCGCAAGAAAGCUAUUUUUCGGAAAAAAAUCUUGGCGAAGGUUUCAAUCCAAUCAGAGUUACAGAUCUCCGGUUAUAAAAGAAACGGUGAAAGGGCAGGAUCCAGAGCGCAAAAACAGAGAGAGACAGAGAGACAGAUCCAAUCUCGGAGGGGCUCUCGCCCCUCCCAUGCCACGGAAGCCAAGGACCAGAGGGGAAACCCUUCUCCCAUCUAGGGAGAAGGUCAAGGAAGAAGAAGAAGAAGGGGGGCCCUCUCCCCCUUUCUCCCGGUGGCGCCGAAACACCGCUGGGGCCAUCAUCGUCACCGCAAUCUACACCAACACCUCUGUCAUCUUCACCAACAUCUUCAUCACCUUCCCCCAUCUAUCUACAUCGGUCCACUCUCCCGCAACCCGUUGUACCCUCUACUUGAACAUGGUGCUUUAUGCUUCAUAUUAUUAUCCAAUGAUGUGUUGCCAUCCUAUGAUGUCUGAGUAGAUAUUCGUUGUCCUAUCGGUAAUUGAUGAAUUGCUAUGAUUGGUUUAAUUUGCUUGUGGCUAUGUUGCUGUCCUUUGCUGCCCAUCAUAUGAGCGCGCGCGUGGAUCACACCAUAGGGUUAGUUGUAUGUUGGUAGGACUAUGUAUUGGAGGGCAAGAGUGACAGAAGCUUCAACCUAGUAUAGAAAUUGAUGCAUACGGGAUUGAAGGGGGACCAAUAUAUCUUAAUGCUAUGGUUGGGUUUUACCUUAAUGAACGUUAGUAGUUGCGAAUGCUUGCUAAUAGUUCCAAUCAUAAGUGCAUAGAAUUCCAAGUCAGGGAUGACAUGCUAGAAGUGGCCUCUCCCAUAUAAAACUUGCUAUCGGUUUAGUAAAGUAGUCAAUUGGUUAGGGACAAUUUCGCAACUCCUACCACUACUUUUCCACGCUCGCUAUACUAACUUUAUCGUGUCUUUAUCUAAACUGCCCCUAGUUACGUGCUCUUUAUAUUCUUGCAAACCUAUCUCGUUACACCUACAAAGUACUUCUAGUUUCAUACUUGUUUUAGGUAAAGCGAACGUUAAGCGUGCGUAGAGUUGUAUCGGUGGUUGAUAGAACUUGAGGGAAUAUUUGUUCUACCUUUAGCUCCUCGUUGGGUUUGACACUCUUACUUAUCGAAAGAGGCUACAAUUGAUCCCCUAUACUUGUGGGUUAUCACUCCACUACGAGGCAUCGAGCACCACAUCGACCUCAUCCCCGUAGCGCCACUUCCAAACAAGGCUCCCUACCGAGUCAACCCCGAAGAAACCAAAGAAAUACAAAGGCAAGUAAAACAUCUCAUAGAUCAUGGACAUGUGCGUGAAAGUUUGAGUCCUUGUGCCGUACCGGUCAUUCUUGUGCCAAAAAGAGACGGUAGCUUUUGUAUGUGUUCCGAUUGUAGACCUAUCAAUGCUAUCACCGUUCGCUAUAGGUACCCCAUUCCACGCCUCGAUGAUAUGCUUGAUGAGCUUAGCGGUGCCACUAUUUUUUUCCAAAAUCGAUCUCAAGAGUGGUUACUAUCAAAUCCGCAUACAAGAGGGUGAUGAAUGGAAAACCGUUUUCAAAACUAAGUUUGGUUUGUAUGAGUGGUUAGUCAUGCCUAUGGGUUUAUCCGAAGCACCCGGUACUUUCAUGCGUCUUAUUCAUUAUGUGUUUCGCCCUUACAUUGGUGAGUUUGUUGUGGUCUACUUUGACGACAUCCUUGUUUUUAGCAAAUUUCUCAAAGAGCAUGUCACCCACCUUCGCACCGUGCUCCAAACUCUUUGAAAAGAGCGUCUUUAUGCUAAUACGGAAAUAUGCCUUUUUGGCGUUGAUAAGCUUGUUUUCUUGGGUUUUGUAGUAUCUUCCAAGGGUGUUCAUGUUGAUGAAUCUAAGAUCAAUGCUAUUAAAACUUGGCCCCAACCAACUAAAUUGCAACAAGUGCGUACUUUCCUUGGUUUAGCCGGUUUCUACCGUAGAUUUGUGAAGGAUUUUAGCACUAUUGCAUCUCCUUUACACGCUUUGAGCAAGAAAAAUGCACCCUUUGUUUGGGGACCAUCACAAGAUAGCGCAUUCAAUGAGCUUAAGAAUUUGCUUACUCAUGCUCCCGUGCUUGCUUUACCGAACUUUGACAAACCUUUUGAAAUUCAUUGCGACGCUAGUGGUAAUGACAUAGGAGGUGUGUUAACGCAAGAGAAGCGCCCCAUAGCAUACUUUAGUGAGAAACUUUCCGGAGCGCAACUCAAUUACCCCAUCUAUGACAAAGAGCUAUAUGCUUUAGUGCGAUUUUUGCACGAAUGGGAACAUUACCUUCGCCCUCAUGAAUUUAUCAUCCAUACCGAUCAUGAAACGCUUAAAUAUCUUAAGGGUCAAACUAAGUUGAACAAGCGUCAUGCUAAAUGGAGUGAGUUUAUUGAGUCAUUUCCUUAUGUCAUCAAGUAUAUCAAAGGAAAGGAAAAUGUUGUGGCGGAUGCACUUUCCCAUAUAUGCAUGCUUGUUACUCAACUUGAAUUGAAUGUCAUUGGCUUUGAGCACAUGAAAGACAUGUAUGAGCAUGAUCCUACUUUUGCUAUUCCUUAUGUCAAGUGUUUGACGCAUACAUCUUGGGAACGCUAUUACAUCAAAGAUGGUUAUCUUAUGAAAGCUAACAAGCUAUGCAUCCCCGAGUCUUCUCUUCGUUUGUUGCUUUUGCAAGAAACUCAUGGCGGAGGACUCAUGGGACACUUUGGACGCGACAAGACAUUUGCUAUGCUCUCCAAGAACUAUUUUUGGCCCAAGAUGUUUCGCGACGUCAACCGCUUCACCAACUGAUGCUCUACAUGUCGCAAAGCUAAGUCUAAAGCUCAAUCUCAUGGUCUAUAUAUGCCUCUUUCAAUUCCGUACCAACCAUGGGAAGAUAUUAGCAUGGAUUUUGUCCUUGGUUUGCCUAGAACUAGAAAUGGAAAGGAUUCCGUCUUUGUUGUUGUGGACCGAUUCUCUAAAAUGGCACAUUUCAUACCAUGCAACAAGAUAGACGAUGCUUCACAUGUUGCAAAUUUAUUUUGUAGGGAAAUCUUGCGCCUACAUGGAGUGCCAAAGACGAUUGUCUUGGACCGCGACGUCAAGUUCUUGAGUUACUUUUGGAAGACAUUGUGCGCCAAGCUCAGAAUCAAGCUUUUGUUCUCUUCGGCAUACCAUCCUCAAUCCGAUGGCCAAACAGAGGUGACGAACCGUACACUCUCCACUCUACUACGUGUGUUGAUAAAGAAGAAAAUUAAGGAGUGGGAGGAGUACCUACCUAUCGCCGAGUACGCCUACAACCGUGCAACACAUUCGACUACUGGCAAGUCCCCCUUCGAGGUCGUCUAUGGCUUCAACCCAUUGUCACCAUUGGACAUUCUUCCUCUACCACUACAAGAGCGCACAAACAUGGACGCGAGUGCCCGAGUCAACUACCUCAAGAAGAUGCAUGAAGAUACAAGGCACACCAUCGAGCGCCAAGUACAACGACUCGCGACCAAGCUCAACGUCAACAAGCAACCCAUGAUAUUCAACAUUUGGAGAUCUUGUGUGGCUACACCUUCGCAAGGACCGCUUCCCUAACGAACGCAAGUCCAAACUUCUACCACGAGCCGAUGGACCCUUCAAAGUGCUUGCACGCUACAACAACAAUGCCUACAAGACCGACAUCCCACGCGACAACUACUCCGUGAGCGACAUCUUCAACGUGAAAGAUCUCUCCCCAUACCAUGGUGAUGAGGAUUUCGAUCCGAGGUUGGAUCUUUCCCAAGGGAGGGGAGAUGAUGCGGAGCAUCCUACGGUCAUCCCCAUGGACCUACCAUCGUCUCAUCAAUAGCCAAGAGGACCUAUGACACGAGCACGAGCUAGAGCUCUCGAGAACGAGGUGACUUCUUUCCUUAGUGAUAUCACAUAUGAUCCACUCGAGACAUGGCUACUACCUAAGUCUGAUAUGCUAUGCAUGACUAGGUGUCAAGAGGACCCUCCCGGAGAUGCUCAUGAAGACGGACAAGCCGCCAAGUUCAUGGACGAGGAGAACCAACGCAAAGAGUCAAGUGCAACUCCCAAGACCGGGACAUCCGGCAAGGACCCCGGACAUCCGGCCCCUAGAAGCGUCACCAGCAUCAAGGAGCCAGCUGCCAAGCCUACAAGCCCCGGACAUCCGGCCCGACAGCCCGGACAUCCGGCCCCUGCCCGAAAAUCCGGCGUCCAUCACAGAAUCGUCCAGAAGCUGAACCUGGUCAGCCCGGACAUCCGGCCAGAGGCCUGGACAUAUGGCUCCUCCCGAGCCCCCGGACAUCCGACCCACCGCCCAGACAUCCGGCCCCGUCUAUCCAGAGAGCUUCGAGGCCGACCACACUCGCCCGGACAUCCGCCCCCCAGCCCGGACAUCCGGCUUCUCCUGAAGCCCCAGACAUCCGGCCCGAGUCCCGGACAUCCAGCCCCGUCUGUCUGCGCACAGUAAAGGGCCGAGGCCCAUGUACCCCUUCGCCCUCUAGACUAUAUAUACUCCCCCUCCUCCCUCUUUCUAGGGUUAGCAUUGGUUUAGCUCAUAUGUGAGAUAGAGUUUUGCUCAUCCAUACGGAUCUACUCCACGAGAGAGACCGCGACCCCUCUACGGAGAAGAUCACCUUGGAUUCAAGACCCCCUCUUGGGUGGCCCCAUCAAGACCUCCUUUAGGAGAAGAACCGGUUACCUUUGUAUCGUCCUUUGUUGAUCGUGAAUCUUGUAUCUCCUCUCGUGUUCCGAGGAUCUAGCAUAUGUGUGACCAUAUCUUGUUGGUUUGAGAGUUCCUCUUGUGUUUUCCCUUAUGUUUCCCCGUGUGUUCUUCGUGUUCUUAGUUGGGAUCCGCUCCUUUCGUGAAAGAUCGGCCGUAUAGGGUUCCACCCUAAAUCGCAAAGCCUUUAGUCCCAAACAAGUUGGGUAGGCUACAGGUGAAACCCAUAAGAUCUCGCAACCAACUCAUGGCUCUGGAACAUGGAUAGCAAGCUUCCACGCACCCCUGUCCAUAGCUAGCUCUUUGGUGAUACUCCAAUCCUUCAGGUCUCUCUUAACAGACUCCUCCCAUGUCAAAUUCGGUCUACCCCGCCCUCUCUUGACAUUCUCUGCACGCUUUAGCCGUCUGCUAUGCACUGGAGCUUCUGGAGGCCUGCGCUGAAUAUGCCCAAACCAUCUCAGACGAUGUUGGACAAGCUUCUCUUCAAUUGGUUCUACCCCAACUCUAUCUCGUAUAUCAUCAUUCCGGACCCGAUCCUUCCUCGUGUGGCCACACAUCCAUCACAACAUACGCAUCUCCGCCACACCUAACUGUUGAAUAUGUCGCCUUUUAGUCGGCCAACACUCAGUGCCAUAGAACAUUGCGGGUCGAACCGUCGUCCUGUAGAACUUGCCUUUUAGCUUUUGUGGCACUCUCUUGUCACAGAGAAUGCCAGAAGCUUGGCGCCACUUCAUCCAUCCGGCUUUGAUUCAAUGGUUCACAUCUUCAUCAAUACCCCCAUCCCCGUGCAGCAUUGACCCCAAAUAUCGAAAGAUGUCUUUCUGGGGAACCACCUGGCCAUCAAGGCUAACGUCCUCCUCACACCUAGUAGUACUGAAACCGCACAUCAUGUACUUGGUUUUAGUUCUACUAAGCCUAAACCCUUUCGAUUCCAAGGUUUGUCUCCAUAACUCUAACUUCCUAUUUACCCCCGUCCGACUAUCGUCAACUAGCACCACAUCAUCCGCAAAGAGCAUACACCAUGAGAUAUCUCCUUUUAUAUCUCUUGUGACCUCAUCCAUCACCAAUGAAAAAAGAUAAGGGCUCAAAGCUGACCCCUGAUGUAGUCCUAUCUUAAUCGAGAAGUCAUCUGUGUCGACAUCACUUGUUCGAACACUUGUCACAACAUUACGUACAUGUCCUUGAUGAGGGUAAUGUACUUUGCUGGGACUUUGUGUUUCUCCAAGACCCACCACAUGACAUUCCGUGUUAUCUUAUCAUAUGCCUUCUCGAAGUCAAUGAACACCAUAUGCAAGUCCUUCUUUUGCUCCCUAUAUCUCUCCAUAAGUUGUCGUACCAAGAAAAUGGCUUCCAUGGUCGACCUCCCAGGCAUGAAACCAAACUGACUUUUGGUCACGCUUGUCAUUCUUCUUAAGCGGUGCUCAAUGACUCUCUCCCAUAGAUUCAUUGUAUGGCUCAUCAGCUUAAUUCCACGAUAAUUAGUACAACUCUGAACUCCCCUUGUUUUACUCCAUGAGAAACAAAAAUUAAGGAAAACUAAAUGCAUACUGCACUUACAUGUUUUUCUAGGAAGUCCUUCACAAAUGGUAGUUUUAUUCUGUUGUACUUGUUUGAAGCAAUUGGAACACAAAUUUCUCUCGUAAAGCUUGCACAUCUACCUAAAGAUUAAUAUGGGUAACAAGGAAGAAAUUAGUUCUGCACCUCAAUGUGUCAUGAUAUUCAGCAAAAGAAUAACUUGAAACAUUGUUUUAAAUAAAAGAAUAAUACAAACUUUUGAGAAAACAUCAGUUUCGAUGCCGCUGUAACUUGUAAAUUACUUCCAGACGUAGAUGCCUGUGUCAAAUGAUUCCCUGUAGUGCAAUGAAAAAAAAAUACUUAGUGCAUGCAUCAUAGUGUGCGCCAAAACAUUAAAAAAAGAAGAACUGUGUGUAAGCAAAGAGCUCUCUACUACGAAAGGAGAGAAAAAACCUUGUUUCCAACUUUGUCACUUUCAUGUGCCUUAUUCCAAAACUCUAAAUGUUGAAGAAAGGUCAAUGUGGAUAGCUUGCAAUGAAAAGCAUUUUGAAAUUGUAAACUACAAUUGAAAUUUGUGUUAGAAUUUUGUCUGAAUCUCUCAUAGGAUUGAGAAUGUCAAAGCUCAUAUCGAUGAAGGUAGGUCCUUUGGGUUUUCUGUGCACUAGGAAAGGGCUAUGCACCUGUUUUGGAGAAAAUGAUAAGGUAAUGUGACGUUGAAGUAAAAAAAUAAGUUGCAGAGACUAUUGUUUUAUUCCUUUCGGAAAUAAAGCUUACCAAUCCAGCUCUCUCUAGCCUAUAUCCAACAUUGACCUCUGAGAAAAUUGUUUUAUGUUGAGAUUGAUCCAAAUGUGGAUUCAUUAGAAGCAUCUAUACAUGUUUUAAAAAUCUCACAAAAACUGAUUGUAUUGAGUACCUAUCCAUACAACUAAAUGAAGAAAAAAGUGAAGUUCAGACGCUUAACUUACAACAAUGUCUGAAUAACGUGUGUUAAAACUUCAUUUGGUAAGCCUUCGCCAUUCUUCUGUCGCAUGUACUGAUUAGACAUAACAAGAUCUGAGAAAUAGUCCAUCACACGCGUAUGCAUCCAACCAUCUUCCAUCAUUGAUAGAGUUAAUGUUUUCUGAUCAACCAUCUAUGAUCUAUCUAGAAAAUACAAGGGCUGCACAAAUAAUUUUUGUUAGAAGAUAAUACGUAGGAGUAUAUCUCUAUAUUUCUUGAGAAGGGAAGAAAAACAACAAGAUUAAUGUAUUAGGAAAUCAUUUUUACCUGUACUCAAUUUUUCCCAAGUAGGACGGGAGAGUAUUGUAUAAUUCAUUCUCAAUAGAUGUAGAGAAGUGUUUUUGUGUUAUAGUUGUUUCCCUUGUAUUGCACAAUAAGCUGGCCCUUGUGAAACUUCCUUCAGCACGUGUGUUGAACAACACAACUGUAUUCUGGAAUGUGUUUUCAUACUGCUCAAGUGCCUGAAGCAUGGCUUUGUCUGAGAUGGAGAAACUCUUUGAAUACUAGUAUGUGUAGUUUGGCACUAGAACCAGAAACUAGACCUGUGUAGGCAUCAAACCUUGGCUUUGAGCAACUUGGUUUAGAACUAGAGGGAAUUGGGUCUAGAAAACAACCACCCUGGGUUGGUUUCGUGUCUCUACAAGAAGAAGAACCUACUGCAUUUGGAACUGCAUGUGUAGCAGUACUAGUGUGGUAGCUACUUUGGGCAAUUGCUUUUGGAGGAAAAUCUUCAAACAGAUCAAAAGAUUGUUCUCCAUAGAAUGUUUCUACUAGCACACAAUUAGUUUUAGGACCAACGAGAUGUUCAUUCAAUGAUAGACCCCGCUUAUCACCUAUGUAGAAUGGUGUUUUCUUCACCUAAACUACUUCUGUUGGUCAACAUUUUGCAAGUGGAUGUAGGUACUGUCAACUCAUUCCUUUCAAUUUGAUAACUUGAACUCCUUUGCAAUUCAGGAUGUCUGC